UCUAACAUUCUUAAUAUGAUUUGUUUGAGAUCAAAUCUUCCCAGUUAACAUUAUGUCAUUCAUGUGAGGCCCUCAUACUACUUUAUGCAUCUCCUCCAUUACAUCCUGCACUUCCACUUUAGUAACGUAUCAAAGCUGGUCACCUGAAGUCAUUCUUUUGUAUAAUACUCUUUGAUGGCUGAUGUAGUUCUUGGCUUGGAUCCACAGUACAUACCUUUCCUUCAUAGUUGCUUCCUUCGAAUAUUCCAUGUCUUCUACAAAUCACUUUAGAUCAUGAAACCAAGGCUUCUCUUCCGGCCCCAUUUAGACUUGCAUUAUUCAGUCUCCCUAAUGACAAGGUGUACCUGAUUUUACAAUCACU
rnacentral:lncRNA from 1 species